UGCAGCCCAGAAAGCCAACUGUAUGUUGGGCUGCAUCAAAAGGAGCAUGGCUGGAAGGUCAAGGGAGGUGAUGCUGCCCCUCUACCCUGCUCUCGUGAAACCCCACUUGGAGUAUUGUGU